ensembl:lncRNA
GAUGGCCAUGAGAAACACGGAGAGGGAAUUGAAGAGCAUCUAGAGAAGACCGUUGCUCACCCUCCAUCACAUGAAGACACACACUGUGACCUGUGGUCAUACCCAGAGGCAAUGGAAGGAGUGUCUGAACACCUCCAGUACAGUGGGGAUGGAGGAGGUGAAGGAGAGGGGGAUUGAGGGAGGAGAAGAACAGCCUACACCCCUCAUUACUGAGGCGGAGGAGAAUGAAGGGAUGGGAGCAGCAUUCUCUCCUCAGACUCCUGCUAGAAUGAAAGCUGUGUCCAGCACCCCAACCUUUUCCCUGAACAGUAGCCACAGUGGGUCACCUAGUCAGCUAGACGGAUCCACAGUGAAAUCCCCAGGCUUCCUGUUCUCCAUGAGCUCAGCUCCUAGCCCCACCACCCCCGACUUCUCUGGCUUCCACUGUGGCUUUGAACUGGGCUCAGGCCAGGAGGAAGAGCCUCCUUUCCCCUUCAGCAGCUCAUAUUUCAGCAGUGAAAAGAAACCGUCAGGAUCCAGAUCGCCAUCAGGCUUCCUGUUUGCCCGGCCAGAGUCGGAGAAGUCAGAAGAUGGAUUUGAGUUCCCCUUCAGCUCUAAGAGUCCUGGUCAACCGUCAACCAGCAGAGAGAAGGGAUCAGGGGCUGGGGACUCCUUCCCUUUCUCCUUUAACUUCUAG